UNUGACUUGAGUGCAGAAGGGGAGAGUGGAAUUCCAUGUGUAGCGGUGAAAUGCGUAGAUAUAUGGAGGAACACCAGUGGCGAAAGCGGCUCUCUGGUCUGUCACUGACGCUGAGGCUNGAAAGCGUGGGUAGCGAACAGGAUUAGAUACCCUGGUAGUCCACGCCGUAAACGAUGAGUGCUAGGUGUUAGGCCCUUUCCGGGGCUUAGUGCCGGAGCUAACGCAAUAAGCACUCCGCCUGGGGAGUACGACCGCAAGGUUGAAACUCAAAGGAAUUGACGGGGGCCCGCACAAGCGGUGGAGCAUGUGGUUUAAUUCGAAGCAACGCGAAGAACCUUACCAGGUCUUGACAUCCCGAUGCUAUUCUUAGAGAUAGGAAGUUACUUCGGUACAUCGGAGACAGGUGGUGCAUGGUUGUCGUCAGCUCGUGUCGUGAGAUGUUGGGUUAAGUCCCGCAACGAGCGCAACCCUUAUUGUUAGUUGCCAUCAUUAAGUUGGGCACUCUAGCGAGACUGCCGGUAAUAAACCGGAGGAAGGUGGGGAUGACGUCAAAUCAUCAUGCCCCUUAUGACCUGGGCUACACACGUGCUACAAUGGUCGGUACAACGAGUUGCGAGCCGGUGACGGCAAGCUAAUCUCUGAAAGCCGAUCUCAGUUCGGAUUGGAGGCUGCAACUCGCCUCCAUGAAGUCGGAAUCGCUAGUAAUCGCGGAUCAGCACGCCGCGGUGAAUACGUUCCCGGGCCUUGUACACACCGCCCGUCACACCACGAGAGUUUGUAACGCCCGAAGUCGGUGAGGUANCCUUUUAGGG
rnacentral:rRNA from 1 species